ACUGCUUUAGCAUCAUCCCAGACGAGCGGUGUUUGCAGCAGCCCUUGCUUCAUCCUGAGACUUCCGAAGGGUCUUAACCUCACAAGAACUUUCAUAUCAUCCCCGGCAUCUUCUUCACCAAGGAAAUCGAGGCCCCCACCUGAUUCCAUGGAACCCAGCGAUUCACAAGUGGCCAUUCAAAUUGCGUUGUCUAUUCAUGCAUUGCAGUAACCAAGGUCAGCCGGGACUGCUUGGUGAUGGUGUGUUAGGACACUGCAUCCUGGUCUGCUGGAGGACCCGAUUCACUUCAGGACACCACAAGAAACGCACUCAGGUUGAUGCAUCCUGUUUUGUUCAGUCUCUCUCAGUGUACUUUUCUGUUCUUUAUUUCACAGUCAGUGGGCUCUCAAAAAUAAUCAGCCAGCAUCUCAACACCAGUACUUCUUGGACUUGUCUAUACAAUGAGGUGUUGCCUUUGGCAUCCUUUGGAGAGUCUUGUUUUUGUUUGCUCUCUGGUAAAUUCAGGGUCUCAUGAACUUCCUUCUCUAGUUUCAAAGCCCACAUCAGAGAUUCUGGAAGAAUCUCUUGGACUUUUCUCUCCUGCUCUCUAGCUCAUCUGGCUAAUCACAAAACCCCACCUCAGCAUAUGCUGUCUCAAUCUUGUCAUCACUUUGAUUUCACUUCUUGUUACCUUUCCUUACGCCCCCCACCAUAGGUUUCAUUUCUCUAGUUUCCCCUGAAAAACCCAUCUCGCAUAUAGCUUUAUACUUAAUUUUCUGACUAUGCCUCAAACAUACUUGUGUUUCUCCAUUUGCCUCUUUCUGAAGCCUGAUCCUUUCAAUAUCUCUUCCUUGACUCCUCUUCA